UGCGUAGGCGGAUUAAUAAGUCAGUGGUGAAAACCUGCAGCUUAACUGUAGAACUGCCAUUGAUACUGUUAGUCUUGAGUACGGUCAAGGUAGGCGGAAUGUGUAAUGUAGCGGUGAAAUGCUUAGAUAUUACACAGAACACCGACUGCGAAGGCAGCUUACUGGACCAUUACUGACGCUGAGGCACGAAAGCGUGGGGAGCGAACAGGAUUAGAUACCCUGGUAGUCC
rnacentral:rRNA from 1 species